GCCUGGGUGGCUCAGUCGGUUAAGCAUCUGACUUCGGCUCAGGAUGAUUUCAUGGUUCGUGGGUUCAAGCCCCGCAUCGGGCU
rnacentral:tRNA from 1 species